rnacentral:rRNA from 1 species
CAUUCAGUUGGGCACUUUAAAGAGACUGCCGGUGUUAAACCGGAGGAAGUGGGGAUGACGUCAAGUCCUCAUGGCCUUUAUGCCCAGGGCUACACACGUGCUACAAUGGGCGGUACAAAGAGAAGCAACCUCGCGAGGGUGAGCAAAUCUCAAAAAGCCGUUCUCAGUUCGGAUUGAAGUCUGCAACUCGACUUCAUGAAGUCGGAAUCGCUAGUAAUCGCGGAUCAGCAUGCCGCGGUGAAUACGUUCCCGGGCCUU